rnacentral:rRNA from 1 species
UACGUAGGGUGCGAGCGUUAAUCGGAAUUACUGGGCGUAAAGCGUGCGCAGGCGGUUCGUUGUGUCGGUGGUGAAAGCCCCGGGCUUAACCUGGGAACUGCAGUUGAUACUGGCCGACUGGAGUGCGAGAGAGGGAGGUAGAAUUCCAUGUGUAGCGGUGAAAUGCGUAGAUAUAUGGAGGAAUACCGGUGGCGAAGGCGGCCUCCUGGCUCGACACUGACGCUGAGGUGCGAAAGCGUGGGGAUCAAACAGG